CCUACGGGAGGCAGCAGCAAGGAAUUUUGGGCAAUGGGGGCAACCCUGACCCAGCAACGCCGCGUGGACGAUGAAGGCUUUCGGGUCGUAAAGUCCUUUUGUGGGGGACGAUGAUGACGGUACCCCACGAAAAAGCCCCGGCUAACUACGUGCCAGCAGCCGCGGUAAUACGUAGGGGGCGAGCGUUGUCCGGAUUUAUUGGGCGUAAAGCGCGCGUAGGCGGUGCGCUAAGUCCGUGGUGAAAUCUCCCGGCUCAACUGGGAGGGGGCCAGGGAGACUGGCGCGCGGGAGGACGGCAGAGGAAGGUGGAAUUCCCGGUGUAGGGGUGAAAUGCGUAGAGAUCGGGAGGAACACCAGUGGCGAAGGCGGCCUUCUGGGCCGGUCCUGACGCUGAGGCGCGAAAGCGGGGGGAGCGAACCGGAUUAGAUCCCCGGGUAGU
rnacentral:rRNA from 1 species